CUGGUAAAAAAAAAAAAAGUAAAUUAGCAUUACCUUUGGAAAGGAUGGCACAUUGCAUAAAGUUUAUGUACACACACACAGGUGCUACAAAUAUAAUGGUUGUGGCUUAAUUUUACUU